GAGUUUGAUUCUGGCUCAGGAUGAACGCUGGCGGCGUGCUUAACACAUGCAGGUCGAGCGAGAAACUCAACAGUGAAACUUCGGUCGAACAUUUGAGCGGAAAGCGGCGGACGGGUGAGUAACGCGUAGGCAACCUGCCCUUUGCAGAGGUAUAGCAUCGGGAAACUGAUAUUAAAACCUCAUAAAACCGGAAGUGCACAUGCACAUUUGGUCAAAGAUUUAUCGGCAAAGGAUGGGCCUGCGUCUGAUUAGUCAGUUGGUGGGGUAACGGCUCACCAAGGCAGUGAUCAGUAGCCGACCUGAGAGGGUGAUCGGCCACAUUGGAACUGAGACACGGUCCAGACUCCUGCGGGAGGCAGCAGUGGGGAAUAUUGCACAAUGGGGGAAACCCUGAUGCAGCAACGCCGCGUGAAGGAAGAAGGCCUUUGGGUCGUAAACUUCUGUCCUUGGGGAAGAAAAAAAUGACGGUACCCUUGGAGGAAGCCCCGGCUAACUACGUGCCAGCAGCCGCGGUAAUACGUAGGGGGCGAGCGUUAUCCGGAAUUAUUGGGCGUAAAGGGUGCGUAGGUGGUUUUUUAAGCGCAGGGUCUAAUGCACAGGCUUAACUUGUGUCCGCCUUGCGAACUGAAGGACUUGAGUGCAGGAGAGGAAAGCGGAAUUCCUAGUGUAGCGGUGAAAUGCGUAGAUAUUAGGAGGAACACCAGUGGCGAAGGCGGCUUUCUGGACUGUAACUGACACUGAGGCACGAAAGCGUGGGUAGCAAACAGAAUUAGAUACCCUGGUAGUCCACGCCGUAAACGAUGAGCACUAGGUGUCGGAUCCGCAAGGAUUCGGUGCCGGAGUUAACGCAUUAAGUGCUCCGCCUGGGGAGUACGCACGCAAGUGUAAAACUCAAAGGAAUUGACGGGGACCCGCACAAGCAGCGGAGCAUGUGGUUUAAUUCGAAGCAACGCGAAGAACCUUACCAGGGCUUGACAUCCUUCUGACAGAGCCUUAAUCGGUUCAUUCUUCGGACAGAAGAGACAGGUGGUGCAUGGUUGUCGUCAGCUCGUGUCGUGAGAUGUUGGGUUAAGUCCCGCAACGAGCGCAACCCUUGUCUUUAGUUGCCAGCAGUAAGAUGGGCACUCUAGAGAGACUGCCGGGGACAACUCGGAGGAAGGUGGGGAUGACGUCAAAUCAUCAUGCCCUUUAUGUCCUGGGCUACACACGUGCUACAAUGGCCGGUACAAAGAGAGGCGAGACCGUGAGGUGGAGCAAAUCUCAAAAACCGGUCCCAGUUCGGAUUGUAGGCUGCAACCCGCCUACAUGAAGUCGGAGUUGCUAGUAAUCGUGAAUCAGAAUGUCACGGUGAAUGCGUUCCCGGGUCUUGUACACACCGCCCGUCACACCAUGGAAGUUGGGGGCGCCCGAAGUUGGUCGCUAAUAGAUUACCUAAGGUGAAACCAAUGACUGGGGUGAAGUCGUAACAAGGUAGCCGUAGGAGAACCUGCGG
rnacentral:rRNA from 1 species